rnacentral:rRNA from 1 species
GACGAACGCUGGCGGCGUGCUUAACACAUGCAAGUCGAACGGAAAGGCCCCUUUGGGGGUCCUCGAGUGGCGAACGGGUGAGUAACACGUGAGUAACCUGCCCUUGACUUCGGGAUAACUUCAGGAAACUGGGGCUAAUACCGGAUAGGAAUCCUUGCUGCAUGGUGGGGGUUGGAAAGCUUCGGCGGUUUUGGAUGGACUCGCGGCUUAUCAGCUUGUUGGUGGGGUAGUGGCUUACCAAGGCUUUGACGGGUAGCCGGCCUGAGAGGGCGACCGGCCACAUUGGGACUGAGAUACGGCCCAGACUCCGACGGGAGGCAGCAGGGGGGAAUAUUGCACAAGGGGCGGAAGCCUGAUGCAGCAACGCCGCGGGCGGGAUGACGGCCUUCGGGUUGGAAACCGCUUUCAGCAGGGGCGAAGCUUGUGGUGACGGUACCUGCAGAAGAAGCACCGGCUAACUACGUG